UUCCUUUCUUCGGUGAUAAUGUCACGGCUUUGGUGAAUUUUAAAGCAGGUUUAAAAUAUUCCACAAAGCUUUCCACAUUCCAAUUCUCCAGAAUGAGGAUAUUGCGCAGCAGGAGCUGCAAAGCAAUGACCAGCUCUGGACACAAUACUUCAGGAAGGAUGUGCAGGUCUUGGAUCAGGUAAUUUGCUGAACUGCUUUCGGGAAUGAAUGAACAUGGGAAGGAUUCCACAACAAAGUCAAAUUUGGAACCACAUCCUGGAAACCGUCACGGCAUGUCUAACGUAUUCACUAUGUCAGCCCAUACCUGGAAGCAAUAAACAGAACACAGGCUGUACUGGCUAUUUCCAUGUUUUCUGUUUCAGAGUAUGAUAUAAUCAGUGGUAUUAUCCCAGUGGUCAGUGUUUAAAAAAUUCAAUUCUCAAACCUUAUAGAUGGUUAUAGGUCAGUACAGUACCACAUUAUAACCAAGGAAAAACACUCGCCUCCACAGAAUCCCUCAAAAUGCUGUGCAUUCAAUGAAGUAUUUUUUAAAAUUACAAUCGCGGCUGUAUUGCAGGAAACAUUGCUGCCAUUUUGCAUAAAGCAAGUUACCCCAAAGCAAUAAUGUGAUAAUGACCAGAUAAUGCGUUUUAGUGAUGUUGGUUAUGGGAUAAAUAUUAGCCCCAGAACAUUAUAGAGGACACCCACUACUGACAGUAGUGCCAUAGGGAUUUUUACUUUCAUUGACAGGGAAGGCAGGGCCUUGAUGUGACAACUGAGCACAAAGACAGCAGCCUCUAAAAGUGCAGCACUCAUUUAGCACUGUAUUUGUGUGUCACUGUUGGUGUGAUACUCGGAUUACAGCACUUAAAACCUACAGCCUUCUGGCUCAAAGGCAAAAACACGAGCACUGAGCUACAGCUGAAAAUCUAUAGCUUUGCAUAUCUGUCAUCAUAUUACAAUGUCUGUUGUUCAAUAUCCUUCCUUUCUUCAGCGCAAGCUUGGAGGGCUGAAGGGCCUGUUCCUGUGCUGUAAUUUUCUUUGUUCCUUGUUUCUUUCAAAAUGUUAAUGUCCCAGCUUCCUCUGCUGGGUGGUGAUGGAGACAUUACGGUAAUCUGCAUUUACAAGUUCACUGACGACACCAUUGUAGGCCAGAUAUCAAAUAGUGGUGAGACUGAAUACAGCAAAGAUAUAGAAUGCUUGGUGACAUAUUGCAAAGACAACAAUCUCGCCAGCUAUAUUAGCAAAACUAAAGAGCUCAUCAUUGACUUCAGGAAGCAAGAGGAGGACACGUCCCUAUUUACAUCAAUGGAGCUGAGGUGGAGAUGGUCGAGAGGGUCAAGUUCCUAGGAGUGAUGAUCAUCAACAAUCUGCCCUGGACCACUAUGUGGAUGCAACAGUCAUGAAGGCAGAACAAUGCCUCUUCUUCCUCAGGAGGCUACGGAAAUUCAGCAUGUCCAUAAGGACCCUCGCCAACUUUUACAGACGCGUCAUAGUAAGCAUUCUAUCUGGAUAUAUCACCACCUGGUAUGGCAACUGCUCAGCCCAGGACCAUAAGAAGCUACAGAAAGUUGUUUACACAGCCCAGACAAUCACAUAAGCCAACCGUCCAUCCAUAGACUCUAUCUACAUUUCUCGCUGCCUCAGAAUGGUAGCCAAUGCCUUCAAUAACCCUUCCCACUCUAGUUAUAUUCUCUUCUAACCAACUUUGUCAGAGAUAAGAUACAGAAGCUUGAACACAUCCCAACAAGCUCAAGAACAGCAUCUUCUCUGCUGUUAUUAGACUUCUGAAUGGACUUCUCAAAUUUCAAGUCUAAUGUUGAUUUUACUUGUGUGGACCUUCUCUGCAGCUGUAAUUUUGGAUUCCUCACUCUGUUCAA